GAUGAACGCUGGCGGCGUGCCUAACACAUGCAAGUCGAGCGGGAUUUUCCGGAUUGAAGCUUCGGCAGAUUGAAGGAAAUGAGAGCGGCGGACGGGUGAGUAACGCGUAGGCGACCUGCCCUUUGCAGAGGGAUAGCCAUUGGAAACGAUGAUUAAAACCUCAUAACACCGGGAAAAGACAUCUUAUUCCGGUCAAAGAUUUAUCGGCAAAGGAUGGGCCUGCGUCUGAUUAGCUGGUUGGUGAGGUAACGGCUCACCAAGGCGACGAUCAGUAGCCGACCUGAGAGGGUGAUCGGCCACAUUGGAACUGAGACACGGUCCAAACUCCUACGGGAGGCAGCAGUGGGGAAUAUUGCACAAUGGGCGAAAGCCUGAUGCAGCAACGCCGCGUGAGUGAAGAAGGUCUUCGGAUUGUAAACUUCUUUUACCAGGGACGAAGAACGUGACGGUACCUGGAGAAAAAGCAAACGGCUAACUACGUG
rnacentral:rRNA from 1 species